rnacentral:rRNA from 1 species
UACGUAGGCGGCCAUAUGAGUCAGAAGUGAAAGGCUACGGCUUAACCGUAGUAAGCUUUUGAAACUGUAUGGCUUGAGUGCAGGAGAGGAAAGCGGAAUUCCUAGUGUAGCGGUGAAAUGCGUAGAUAUUAGGAAGAACACCAGUAGCGAAGGCGGCUUUCUGGACUGAAACUGACGCUGAGGUACGAAAGCGUGGGGAGCGAACAGGAUUAGAUACCCUGGUAGUCC